rnacentral:rRNA from 1 species
AACGUAGGAGACAAACGUUAUCCGGAGUUACUGGGCGUAAAGGGCGUGUAGGUGGUAAUGUAAGUCUGGCGUGAAAUUUUUCGGCUUAACCGGGAAAGGUCGUCGGAGACUGCAUAACUAGAGGACGGUAGAGGCGUGUGGAAUUCCGGGUGUAGUGGUGAAAUGCGUAGAGAUCCGGAGGAACCCCAGAGGCGAAGGCGGCCCCCUGGCUCGUACCUGACGCUCAGCCACGAAAGCAUGGGGAGCGAACGGG